AACGCUGGCGGCAGGCUUAACACAUGCAAGUCGAGCGGAAACGAUGAUAGCUUGCUAUCAGGCGUCGAGCGGCGGACGGGUGAGUAAUACUUAGGAAUCUACCUAGUAGUGGGGGAUAGCACGGGGAAACUCGUAUUAAUACCGCAUACGUCCUACGGGAGAAAGGGGGCAACUUGUUGCUCUCGCUAUUAGAUGAGCCUAAGUCGGAUUAGCUAGAUGGUGGGGUAAAGGCCUACCAUGGCGACGAUCUGUAGCUGGUCUGAGAGGAUGAUCAGCCACACCGGGACUGAGACACGGCCCGGACUCCUACGGGAGGCAGCAGUGGGGAAUAUUGGACAAUGGGGGAAACCCUGAUCCAGCCAUGCCGCGUGUGUGAAGAAGGCCUUUUGGUUGUAAAGCACUUUAAGCAGUGAAGAAGACUCUUCGGUUAAUACCCGGAGACGAUGACAUUAGCUGCAGAAUAAGCACCGGCUAACUCUGUGCCAGCAGCCGCGGUAAUACAGAGGGUGCAAGCGUUAAUCGGAAUUACUGGGCGUAAAGCGAGCGUAGGUGGCUUGAUAAGUCAGAUGUGAAAUCCCCGGGCUUAACCUGGGAACUGCAUCUGAAACUGUUAGGCUAGAGUAGGUGAGAGGGAAGUAGAAUUUCAGGUGUAGCGGUGAAAUGCGUAGAGAUCUGAAGGAAUACCGAUGGCGAAGGCAGCUUCCUGGCAUCAUACUGACACUGAGGCUCGAAAGCGUGGGUAGCAAACAGGAUUAGAUACCCUGGUAGUCCACGCCGUAAACGAUGUCUACUAGUCGUUGGGUCCCUUGAGGACUUAGUGACGCAGCUUACGCAAUAAGUAGACCGCCUGGGGAGUACGGCCGCAAGGUUAAAACUCAAAUGAAUUGACGGGGGCCCGCACAAGCGGUGGAGCAUGUGGUUUAAUUCGAUGCAACGCGAAGAACCUUACCUGGUCUUGACAUAUCUAGAAUCCUGCAGAGAUGCGGGAGUGCCUUCGGGAAUUAGAAUACAGGUGCUGCAUGGCUGUCGUCAGCUCGUGUCGUG
rnacentral:rRNA from 1 species